rnacentral:rRNA from 1 species
AUUGAACGCUGGCGGCAGGCCUAACACAUGCAAGUCGAGCGGAUGAAGGUAGCUUGCUCCUGGAUUCAGCGGCGGACGGGUGAGUAAUGCCUAGGAAUCUGCCUGGUAGUGGGGGAUAACGUCCGGAAACGGGCGCUAAUACCGCAUACGUCCUGAGGGAGAAAGUGGGGGAUCUUCGGACCUCACGCUAUCAGAUGAGCCUAGGUCGGAUUAGCUAGUUGGUGGGGUAAAGGCCUACCAAGGCGACGAUCCGUAACUGGUCUGAGAGGAUGAUCAGUCACACUGGAAGUGAGACACGGUCCAGACUCCUACGGGAGGCAGCAGUGGGGACUAUUGGGCGAUGGGCGUAAGCCUGAUCCAGCAAUGCCGCGUGUGUGAAGAAGGUCUUCGGAUGGUAAAGCACUUUAAGUUGGGAGGAAGGACAGUAAGUUAAUACCUUGCUGUUUUGACGGUACCAAAAGAAUAAGCACCGGCUAACUUCGUG